CAGCAAAGUUUAGUAUUCGUGCCAACUGAUAUAUCAUACACCUUAAUCAAGUUCCCAUGAUCAUCCCUGAUAAUACCUCCUCCUCCACUAGGGCCUGGAUUGCCCUUAGAGCAUCCAUCGCAAUUCAAUUUCAUCCAUCCAUUGUGUGGGGAGGACCACUUAACAAAAUUAGUAUGAAUUGCAUGUUGUGCAAUAUCAAUUAAUUCAAAGAAAUGCUUCCCUUUCAUAAACGGAGGCACUGCGGGGAAUUAUUUGUGAGCAAUAAUAUUGAGUUGCUGGGUAGUGUAAAGGAUUAUCCUCCCGGAGGACAUCCUAAUCCCUUAUAAUCUGCUCUUAGAUCUAGCUUUCCAAAUUUGCCAAACAAUUAUGCCAGGUAGGAUCUGUAGGGCAAAUUUUUGUAAAGCAUUUUGACCACUUUUCAUCCACCAAGUAAUGACCCUCUGCCUAAUAUUGUUAUGAUCUCUUACGAAACAUUUGGUUGAAGAAGAUCCACACCGCUUUACCAACCAUGAUGUUCAUGAACAGGUGAUCUUCAUCCUCUGAGCUAGAACUAAUGCAACAUGAACAUUUGGAGGCCAAUUGAGUGCCAAAUCUGCCUAGGUUGCCAUCUACAGAGACCUUAUGUCUAAGUAGCCUCCAAGGGAAGAAAGAAAUUUUAAACGGGCAUCUUGGAUGCCAAGUCAUCUUAUUAAUCAGUGAAGUAUUGUGAAUUUCUCUAAUAUUUCUCCAAGAUGAGUUACAACUAAAUCUCCCAUCUAUUGACGCAGUCCAUAUUGGUUGGUCUUUUAUGUUGGGAGAGUUAAUUUUAACUCCUUGAAUUUGAUGAACAACAUGUAAAGGAUGGUUUUAAGAGAGUUUAAGAUUAUUCCAAUUACCAUUAGAGAUAUAAGAGGAUACCUGAUUCUUUGUGGAGGUAGAUGCAGUUCCAAAUUGAGCCAGCUUACCCAUUCCAGACCAGUUAUCCUACCAAAAGUUUGAGUUGCCAGAGUUUAUCUUCCAAAGAAUUAGGUGGUCAGUUCUGUGUUUGAUUUUCAUCAUCCUUCUCCAAGUGUGUGAGUGAUAGUAGUUCCAUUUUCUGGCCAUUGGGUGGAUCCUUUGGGAGUAUUUGGCCUUCAUAAAAUCAGUCCAAAGAGAUUCUCUGGUUCUAUAUUGCCACCAAAGUUUAGCUGAGAAGGUAUCUGAGAUCUCUUGCAGAAUUCUAAUGCCAAUUCCUCCUUCUUCAAUUGGUAAGCACAAUCUUUUCCAUGAGGACCAGUGAUAUUUUUGUUUAUUUUCUAGGUUUCCCAAGAAAAGGUUUAUAAAGACUCUUUCAAUCUGUGCUAAAAUAGUUUUGGUGGUUGGCAAAUAGACAUCAAGUGAAGAGGUAUUGCACUUAGAACAUGCUUGAUAAGAGUCUUUUUGCCACCUAUAGAUAAUAAGUUAGCAUGCCAAAAUCCUAUUCUUUGGAUGAUUUUAGUGGCCAUCUUCGUAAAGAACUCAAUCUUUUUUCUCCCAUAAAAUAGUGGAUAUCCCAAAUAUUUGAUGGGAAAUUCUUUUUCUUGAAAAUUCAAGUUCCUAGCCACAAUAUAUUUUCUCUUGGAAGGGAUCUCUUUGUCCAUCAGGAAACAACUUUUCUCCUUAUUGAUAAGUUGGCUGAGUUAUCUUCAUAUUUUCUUAUAGUAUCCAUAAUUAGUUGUAAAGUUGAUAUUUUUCCUGCACAAAAAAUUAUAAUAUCAUCAACAUAAGAUAAAUUAUUAAUCUUUGGUCCAUUUGGUUGCAUAGUAAAACCAAUGAACUUAAGAUUAAUAUAUAAGUUAUUAAGCAUCCUUGAUAAAACCUCAGCAGCAAUAAUAAAGGGAGAUGGAGAUAGAGGGUCUUCCUGUUUUACUCCCCUUUGUGAUUUGACGAAUCCAUAUAUUUUACUAUUUAUUACCACUGUAUACCACAUAUUGGAUAAAAGGUUCCAGACAAUAUGAAUCUACUGUUCUGCAAAGCCCAUCCUCCUCAUAACCGUGCCAAGAAAAUGCCAUGAUAGUCUGUCAUAGGCUUUGUUCAUGUCUAACUUAAUCAGGCUAUUACCUCCCUUAUUAGGUUUUCUCAUAUCAUGUAUAAUCUUUUGCGCAAGAAGAACAUUUUUCCCAAUUGCUCUCCCCUUAAUGAAACCGCUUUGGUUUUGAGAAAUAAUUCUGGGGAGUAGCUUAGAUAAACUCUCAUUCAUCACUUUAAAAACUAUCUUUUGGGAAACAUUACUAAGGCUAAUAGGUCUGAAUUCAGAGAAAUACUGGGGCGCUUCAAUCUUUGGAAUUAGGAUCAAACAAGUGUUAGUGAAGAAUCUAGGCAUUUGCUCUCCAUUAAAAAUAGCUCUCACCAGAUGAACUAUAUCAUCACCGACGAUCUCCUAUGUUUUCUGAAAGAACAUACUAUUGAAACCAUCAGGGCCUGCAGUACUAUUUGGAUUUAUAUCAAAAAUAGCCCUCUUAACUUCUUCCAGAGAUGGUUCUGCUAACAACAUCUCAUUGUCUACUGUUGUAAUAACAUUUGGUAUGACAUCCAUGAUACUCAUAUCAAUCCCAUUGCUGUCUUGGCUGAAGAGUUGUUGGUAGAAGUCUACAGCAGCUUGCCCAAUAUUAUCAUCUCCUUCUAUCCAUUGGUCGCCAACCUUAAUUCUAUGUAUAUACAAUCUCUUCCUUCUACCUCUGACCACGCUAUGAAAACAUUUAGUGUUCUCAUCACCUUCAAGUUGCCAUUUGAGGUUGGCUUUUUGUCUCCAAAAGGUGUCAACCAUCUUGUGAUGGAUCAAUAAUUCGGCCCUGGCUUUAUUGAGGUUCAUUCUAUCUUCUUGGUUCAAAGAAUUCAUAUAAUUAGUCUCACAUUCAUCCACCUCAUUUUUUAGUAGUUGAAUUUUAACAAAGAUAUCCCCAAUUUUGUUUCUAGACCACUCACUCAGGGCUCUGCUAGUCUUCUUCAUUUUCUGAUGAAAAUCCAAAAGAUGUUACCCGUAAUAUCAGCCUCCCAUUGUUGUUUAACAAUAUCUUUGAAGUCAUCUCGAUCCACCCAAAAAUCUAAGAACUUAAAAUAUUUGAUGUAGUUCCCAUCAUCCUUUUCGGCAGUGAUGAGAAUUGGACAAUAGUCAGAGCUUAAUCUUGUCAAGUGCUGAACUGAUGUUUUAGAGAAAUGUAUAUCCCACUCAUUAUUAGCGACCAUUCUAUCCAACCUUUUCCAUAUGAUCUCCUGCCCUUUUCUUUCAUUACACCAAGUAAAUGUGUGCCCUGAGUAUCCCAUAUCUAUUAAAUCACAAUCAUUCAUUCAGACAUUAUAUAAAAGGAAGACUUUUACCAAGUCUAUGUGGAACACCUUCCAUCUUUUUCUGCAUUAAUGAUGCUAUUGAAGUCACCACAUACAGUCCAGGGGAUAGAAACAGUAGUAGCAAAAGUUCUCAUAUACUCCCAAAGUUCCUCUCUUCCGGCAGACUUAGAUUUAGCAUAGACAAUGGAGACGAGAGCAGCUUGGUCAGAGUUGUAAGGCCUAACUUUACAUGUAAUCAAUUGAGCAUGGUUAGCAUAAACAUUACAAAUCAAAUUAGCACUCCAGAAAACCCAAAUCUUAUUGCUAGAGUUUGCAAAACAGCCUUGCAUACCCAAAAUAUUUUUAUAAAAGUCAAUAGUAGUUUCUUGCAUAAAUAGUUCCUGUAUAGCAACUAAAGAGAUUUUAUGAAGCUUAACCAUGUAGAUUAAUCUUUCUGUAGCAGCUUGGGAUUUCAUACCCCUUAUAUUCCAAUUAAGCAACUUAAACAUGAUUCGGAAUAUUAAGGGUUGUUUGUGAGUUUCUUUUUUGGCCCCUAGUUAUAGGAGAUUCUCUAGCUUUUCCACUUUUUUUGCUUUUUGAUAUGCCCCUAGAAGGUAUUCCCUCCAUUAAAUUAGUAAUACCAGUUAGGCCUUGAACUUCAUUAAUAUUUUAUUCACUACCAAUUGUAUCAAUUGGCAAGCUUAAAAGAAAAAGAAUGUAGUAAGUUUUAUUUUAUUUUUUUGCCAGUUUUUGCCGUAAUAGAUGCUAAAUAGGAACAAACUGGUAUCUUUGUAGACAAAAAUCAGUUGUCUUGGCCACAAGCAAUAGUAAUGGUCAUUAAUAUUUAAGACCUAGUCAUAUGAGCGUAGCCAGUAGGGUCACUUCCACUUACUUGUGAUCAAUUUUUACAUCUUUUCUUAGAGAAGUUCAUCCCACUCACGAGAAGGGAGGAGAUGCGUGGCCAGCUUGAGCACCUCCAAUAGGAUUGUUUGUCUGUGACCGAGUAUGAGAUGAGAUUUACUGAGCUAUCUCGCCAUGCUGAUUCCUACCGAGGUUGAGAACGUGAGGAGGUUCAUUGACGGGUUAAAUUUUGGUAUCAAGAUUGUUAUAGCUAUGCACAACAGGGUUGCAGGUUAGUCUCCAGAAAUAAAAGUUACAGAGCAGUACAAAAAAGGGAGAAAAAAAAGUAAGAAGAAGGAGAAGCAGCAACACAACAACAAUAGUAACAAAAAACAGACACUCUAACAAACACCAACAUACAGCUAACUACAGCUAGAUUCGAGGCGUUUGGAGGCCAAUUCACGAGGCAAAGACAUUGCAGAAUACAGAAUUACACGAUUUGAGGUAAGUAACAGUUCUAAAUUUGGUCCCGAGAGUAUGAAACCCAGGAUUAUGUGUUAUGUGAUUAGUUUUGAGGUGACGAACAUGCUAGGUGACGGGCGAGUGGGCGUAUAGGAAUUGUGACUUGGUCAAAUUCCAUGGAACUGUGUAGUUGAAUAAUUUAUUCAUACCAGUACAUUCUCUAUGUGUUAGAGAAAAUUGAGCUGAGACUCAUAUUAAAAAUCAUGCUUAGACAUAUGCUGUUAUUAUUGGUACCCACUGGGGUCAUUUCAGUGGUUGAAUUAUAUGUUCAAAUUGUAAUUUCAUACUCAGUCAUGUUUAUUCAUUUCAUAUCAUAUCUCAGUCUCUGUUACUAUUU
rnacentral:lncRNA from 1 species